CCCCUCUCAGGAUCGCACUUGGAGAGCUUCCAGUACUCUACCAAUCUCGACUAAGGGAGGGAGAGUCAAGCAGAAGCAUACCCAUUCCAUUCCUGGCUUAGGCAGUGGCUAGCGAAUGGAAGGCAAUCUGCUGCAAGU